AUGCUCUGGUUUCCCUUCAAACCUCGUGCUAAUCUUUCACGUUUUGCUAAUGAUUACCGUGGAGGGGAACAACUUAAAUGAGCUUAAACAAAUUGAGAAUAAUGUAGUUAAUCUAAAUGCAU